rnacentral:rRNA from 1 species
UACGUAGGGGGCUAGCGUUGUCCGGAUUUAUUGGGCGUAAAGAGCGUGUAGGCGGCCAGGUAGGUCUGCUGUGAAAACUCGAGGCUCAACCUCGAGACGUCGGCGGAAACCAUCUGGCUAGAGUCCGGAAGAGGAGAGUGGAAUUCCCAGUGUAGCGGUGAAAUGCGUAGAUAUUGGGAGGAACACCAGUGGCGAAGGCGGCUCGCUGGACCGGAACUGACGCUGAGGCGCGAAAGCGUGGGGAGCAAACAGG